CCUACGGGUGGCUGCAGUGAGGAAUAUUGGUCAAUGGGCGCGAGCCUGAACCAGCCAAGUAGCGUGAAGGAGGAAUGCCCUACGGGGUGUAAACUUCUGUUAUAAAGGAAUAAAGUGAGGCACGUGUGCCUUUUUGUAUGUACUUUAUGAAUAAGGAUCGGCUAACUCCGGGCCAGCAGCCGCGGUAAUACGGAGGAUCCGAGCGUUAUCCGGAUUUAUUGGGGUGUAAGGGAGCGUAGCUGGGUUGUUAAGUCAGUUGUGAAAGUUUGCGGCUCAACCGUAAAAUUGCAUUUGAUACUUGCAGUCUUGAGUACAGUUGCGUUCGGCUUCAUUC
rnacentral:rRNA from 1 species